rnacentral:rRNA from 1 species
CCUACGGGGGGCAGCAGUGAGGAAUAUUGGUCAAUGGGCGCGAGCCUGAACCAGCCAAGUAGCGUGAAGGAUGACUGCCCUACGGGUUGUAAACUUCUUUUGUAAAGGAAUAAAGUCAGGCACGUGUGCCUGUUUGUAUGUACUUUAUGAAUAAGGAUCGGCUAACUCCGUGCCAGCAGCCGCGGUAAUACGGAGGAUCCGAGCGUUAUCCGGAUUUAUUGGGUUUAAAGGGUGCGUAGAUGGGUGGUUAAGUCAGUUGUGAAAGUUUGGGGCUCAACCGGAAAACUGCAGUUGAUACUGGCAGUCUUGAGUACAGUUGAGGUAGGCGGAAUGCGUGGUGUAGCGGUGAAAUGCUUAGAGAUCACGCAGAACUCCGAUUGCGAAGGCAGCUUACGAAACUGCCACUGACAUUGAGGCUCGAAAGCGUGGGUAUCAAACAGGAUUAGAUACCCCUGUAGUC